GACGAACGCUGGCGGCGUGCUUAACACAUGCAAGUCGAACGGAAAGGCCCUGCUUUUGUGGGGUGCUCGAGUGGCGAACGGGUGAGUAACACGUGAGUAACCUGCCCUUGACUUUGGGAUAACUUCAGGAAACUGGGGCUAAUACCGGAUAGGAGCUCCUGCUGCAUGGUGGGGGUUGGAAAGUUUCGGCGGUUGGGGAUGGACUCGCGGCUUAUCAGCUUGUUGGUGGGGUAGUGGCUUACCAAGGCUUUGACGGGUAGCCGGCCUGAGAGGGUGACCGGCCACAUUGGGACGGGGAUACGGCCCAGACUCCUACGGGAGGCAGCAGUGGGGAAUAGUGCACAAUGGGCGGAAGCCUGAUGCAGCAACGCCGCGUGCGGGAUGACGGCCUGCGGGUUGUAAACCGCUUUCGCCUGUGACGAAGCGUGAGUGACGGUAAUGGGUAAAGAAGCACCGGCUAACUACGUG
rnacentral:rRNA from 1 species